rnacentral:rRNA from 1 species
UCGAGGGGUAGGGUAGCAAUACCUGAGACCGGCGCACGGGUGCGUAACGCGUAUGCAAUCUACCUUUUACAGAGGGAUAGUCCAGAGAAAUUUGGAUUAAUACCUCAUAGUAUGUAUGAGUGGCAUCACUUAUAUAUUAAAGUCACAACGGUAAAAGAUGAGCAUGCGUCCCAUUAGCUAGUUGGUAAGGUAACGGCUUACCAAGGCGACGAUGGGUAGGGGUCCUGAGAGGGAGAUCCCCCACACUGGUACUGAGACACGGACCACACUCCUACGGGAGGCAGCAGUGAGGAAUAUUGGACAAUGGGCGCAAGCCUGAUCCAGCCAUGCCGCGUGCAGGAAGACGGUCCUAUGGAUUGUAAACUGCUUUUGUACGGGAAGAAACAGCAGUUCGUGAACUGCCUUGACGGUACCGUAAGAAUAAGGAUCGGCUAACUCCGUGCCAGCAGCCGCGGUAAUACGGAGGAUCCAAGCGUUAUCCGGAAUCAUUGGGUUUAAAGGGUCCGUAGGCGGUUUGGUAAGUCAGUGGUGAAAGCCCAUCGCUCAACGGUGGAACGGCCAUUGAUACUGCCAGACUUGAAUUAUUAGGAAGUAACUAGAAUAUGUAGUGUAGCGGUGAAAUGCUUAGAGAUUACAUGGAAUACCCAUUGCGAAGGCAGGUUACUACUAAUGGAUUGACGCUGAUGGACGAAAGCGUGGGUAGCGAACAGGAUUAGAUACCCUGGUAGUCCACGCCGCAAACGAUGGAUACUAGCUGUUGGGAGCAAUCUCAGUGGCUAAGCGAAAGUGAUAAGUAUCCCACCUGGGGAGUACGUUCGCAAGAAUGAAACU